AUGAAGGAGCCUUCCAAAGCAUUUCACCAGUAUAGCAACAACAUCUCCACCUUGGAUGUACACUGUCUCCCUCAGUUCCAGGAGAAAGUCUCCCCUCCUGCAUCACCUCCUAUAACCUUCCCUCCAGCCUUUGAAGCCGCCAAAGUAGAGUCCAAGCCUGACGAGCUCAAGGUGACAGUCAAAUUAAAGCCUCGGCUGAGGACGGUGCCUGUCGGGCUGGAGGAUUGUAGACCACUGAAUAAAAAGUGGAGAGGGAUGAAGUGGAAGAAAUGGAGCAUUCAUAUUGUCAUCCCCAAGGGGACCUUUAAACCGCCCUGUGAGGAUGAGAUAGAUGAAUUUCUAAAGAAAUUGGGCACUUCCCUUAAACCUGACCCUGUCCCCAAAGACUAUCGCAAGUGUUGCUUUUGUCACGAAGAAGGUGAUGGGCUAACAGAUGGGCCAGCAAGGCUGCUCAACCUGGACCUGGACCUCUGGGUCCACUUGAAUUGUGCUCUGUGGUCCACAGAGGUCUAUGAGACACAGGCUGGUGCCUUAAUAAAUGUGGAGCUAGCGCUGAGGAGAGGUCUACAAAUGAAAUGUGUCUUCUGUCAUAAGACAGGUGCCACCAGUGGAUGUCACAGAUUUCGAUGUACCAAUAUUUAUCAUUUUACUUGCGCCACUAAAGCACAAUGCAUGUUUUUUAAAGACAAAACAAUGCUUUGCCCCAUGCACAAACCAAAGGGAAUCCAUGAGCAAGAAUUGAGUUACUUUGCAGUCUUCAGGAGGGUCUAUGUGCAACGAGAUGAGGUACGGCAAAUUGCUAGUAUUGUGCAACGGGGAGAGCGGGACCAUACCUUUCGUGUUGGGAGCCUCAUCUUCCAUGCCAUUGGUCAGCUGCUUCCACAACAGAUGCAAGCAUUCCACUCUUCGAAAGCGCUCUUCCCCGUGGGCUAUGAGGCCAGCCGGUUAUACUGGAGUACUCGCUACGCCAACCGUCGAUGCCGGUACCUGUGUUCCAUUGAGGAGAAAGACGGGCGGCCCGUGUUUGUCAUCAGGAUUGUAGAGCAAGGCCAUGAGGACCUGGUCUUAAGUGAUUCAUCACCUAAAGAUGUUUGGGAUAAAAUUUUGGAGCCUGUGGCAUGUGUAAGAAAAAAGUCGGAAAUGCUGCAGCUUUUCCCCGCGUAUUUGAAAGGAGAAGACCUGUUUGGCCUGACUGUCUCUGCGGUGGCACGGAUAGCUGAGUCACUACCUGGGGUUGAGGCAUGUGAAAACUACACCUUCCGGUAUGGCCGCAAUCCUCUCAUGGAACUUCCUCUUGCCGUUAACCCCACAGGCUGUGCCCGUGCGGAACCUAAAAUGAGCGCCCAUGUGAAGAGGUUUGUGUUAAGGCCUCACACCUUGAAUAGCACCAGCACUUCAAAGUCGUUUCAGAGCACAGUCACUGGAGAGCUGAACGCACCGUACAGUAAGCAGUUUGUCCACUCCAAGUCAUCACAGUACCGCAGAAUGAAGACUGAAUGGAAAUCUAAUGUGUAUCUGGCCCGGUCUCGGAUCCAGGUAAGGAAUGAAGCAGAGUUAGGUCUCAAGCAGCGGAUGCCCAGGAGGAAGAGCUGCCGCACAUUGCGGGUAGAGAUAGAAUCUGCUUGCUUGUUUGUGUGUGUGUGUUUGUUUUUGUGGAACUGUGAUUUGAACUUAGCAUCUUGUAUGUCUUAGCAAGUGCUUUACCACUGAGCUAAUCCCAACCCUAGACUCACGCUGUGAGAGCUGUGUUCCACCUUGUCGGCUUUUAACAUGAGGACUCGGGCUUGUAGCCGUAGAACUUGGUGCUGGACGUCAAGUAGAAAGUAGGCCUUGUGAAUCCACAUCUUUAUAUCUUGUUCGAGGCUGUGGAGAAACAGGUUGCACUGGAUUCUGCAUGCACUGAGUUUUGAACAGCUCAGGAGAAUGCUCACCAGCACACGGGAAAAGUAAAUGGAGGCCAGCACUGGAAGGCGGAGUCAGGCAGGUCAGAUCAGGGUGCUGUGUCUUCAGCGACACUGGAUGGAUUCAUGUGACAUUGCGGAUUUGGAAGCUAUAUCUUUGUAGCACUGGCUUUUUGUGAAACAUUGCACAUUCCUUGUAGACAGUACCAGGAGUAGGGCUGCCCACUGACAGAGUAUCUUAACAUUGAAUCCGUAGUCUUCGGUUGUGGUCUCAUUGUUGAUGUGUAACACAGAGUGGAACUGCAAAGCUCCUACUUUGUCAAAUUCUGCAGUCCCCAAACUGUGUGCCUAUCUGUGCCUAAGCCGAUCUCAGUAUUCCCAGAUCCACCCCGCCACAAAAUGCUGUUACUUCUCCUCAUCGUUCUCCGAGUUCCAGCCUCUUCCUGGAAACCAGUUUCUAUGUUCAGUAGAGAGCUCUUUCAAGUUUAUUGCAAGCACUAGUUUUAAGAAUCUUCUUGUUCUUAGACACUUUGCAAAUGUGCCUAGCAUAAGGCUGUCUUUACCACCUUCUCUCUUGCUGAAUCCUUUUAGUCUGGAGCACUGUGACCUUUAGGCUAAGCAUCAGCUGUCAAUAAACAAGCUGAUGGCCAAUGAGCUGAGGCAGGAAAUAGUUGGUGGGAUGGCAGGAAGGGAGUGGAUUCUGGCAAACAGUGAUCGAAUAAAAGGAGAUGCAUGGAGAGAUUUGAGUGAGACCCUGGGGGGAAACACCGAGGAAGAAGCGGAUUGGGACUGAAGGAGAGGUAACUGUAGACAUAGACUAGUUUGAAUCGGUUAAGUAAGUUACAACAGCUAGGUGUGCAAUGAGCCAAGGCUUGUGGACAAGGCAUUUAUUUAUAAAUAGUCUCAGAGACGACAUUCCCGGGAGCAGGAUUUUUUUUUAAACAACUGACUAUAUGUGUAAGUCUCAGCAGUGAGUUCUGAGACUGACAGACCCAGCUCUGGAGGGGUUCAGCCAGUACCUUGACCUGAUGGGAGCUGCCGCCGCCUUGCUUCCUAUCCUACUUCUGAUUUUGGUUUCCUUGUUUUGCUCUUCUGAAAUGCCUUCUACUUUUUACCUGCUGAUCUUUCUUAGACAUUUUAACAACCAGCUGUGAGCUC
rnacentral:lncRNA from 14 species